rnacentral:rRNA from 1 species
GAUGAACGCUGGCGGCGUGCCUAAUACAUGCAAGUCGAGCGAACGGACGAGAAGCUUGCUUCUCUGAUGUUAGCGGCGGACGGGUGAGUAACACGUGGAUAACCUACCUAUAAGACUGGGAUAACUACGGGAAACCGGAGCUAAUACCGGAUAAUAUUUUGAACCGCAUGGUUCAAAAGUGAAAGACGGUCUUGCUGUCACUUAUAGAUGGUUCCGGGCUGCAUUAGCUAGUUGGUAAGGUAACGGCUUACCAAGGCAACGAUGCGUAGCCGACCUGAGAGAGUGAUCGGCCACACUGGAACUGAGACACGGUCCAGACUCCUACGGGAGGCAGCAGUAGGGAAUCUUCCGCAGUGGGCGAAAGCCUGACGGAGCAACGCCGCGUGAGUGAUGAAGGUCUUCGGAUCGUAAAACUCUGUUAUUAGGGAAGAACAUAUGUGUAAGUAACUGUGCACAUCUUGACGGUACCUAAUCAGAAAGCCACGGCUAACUACGUG